UACGUAGGGUGCGAGCGUUGUCCGGAAUUACUGGGCGUAAAGAGCUCGUAGGUGGUUUGUCGCGUUGUCCGUGAAAACUCACAACUCAAUUGUGGGCGUGCGGGCGAUACGGGCAGACUGGAGUACUGCAGGGGAGACUGGAAUUCCUGGUGUAGCGGUGGAAUGCGCAGAUAUCAGGAGGAACACCGGUGGCGAAGGCGGGGAU
rnacentral:rRNA from 1 species